GAAUCAGAGGGGCAGGGUCCAUUCGCAGAAAGGUCGCUGGGUGGGGACACCAAGGCCUUCGGAAGGCUCUGGUUCUGCUGCUCACUGCCUGUGUGACCUGAAGAAAACCAUGUGCCCUCCCUGGCCACAGGUGACAAUAGGAGGCGCGGUGAGAAGAGUCUGCAGGCUCCCAGCCUUCGCAUGGCUCGCCUCCCUCCCAGCAGCUCAGUGACGGGCUUGGGGGAGGCCCCGUGGAAUUCGGCAGCCGUGAGGCGCUUUCUCUCGGGAGUCACAAAGCCUUUCGCAAAACCAGAGAUGGGUGUUUCCUACCUGCCAAGGAGAGAGGAGUGUCGUGGAGCCGAGGACCUCUGUCCCCCUGUCCCCUGGGGUCAGGGGGCUGGGAAGCAUCCUUGCUGUCCACCGGCUGCACAUGCAGCAUAGGUAAGUUCCCAGGCUAGGGGUCUAAUUGGAGCUGCGCCGCCAUCCUGCACCACAGCCACAGCAACUGGGGAUCCGAACUGCAACUAUGACCAACACCACAUCUCACGGCAAUGCUGGAUCCUUAACCCACUGUACUGGGCACAGAACCUGCAGCCCAGUGCCCCCCAAGAGGCUGCUGAUCCCCUCGUGCCACAGAGGGAGCUUCAGAGUCACCCUUUAUGCAUGAUCCAGUGCCUGGUUCUCCCUGGAAGGAAGCUGGAGUCCCGGUGUGAGCAGGUGUGGAGGCAGAGGCUGUGGUGAUGCAGCUGAUGGCAGGAUCUGGCUCCAAGGCUGGGCCCCGGCUGAUCUGACGCCCUGAGAAGCCCUUGGGAGGUUGGAGGCAUAUCGACAGACAUUUUAUCAUUUCGAGCAUUAAAAACUUAGAUUUGUUAUAUAUGAAAUAUUCAUAAGUUGGCCCAGUUUCACAUUUUAUUGAUUGAUGCUGAGAAAUCCGCGUUUCAGCAACACGAGUCAUGGCUACCAGAAGAAAGACCUUGUUAGGGAAUUGGCUUUGCUGGGGUCUCAGACCGCAGCUCCCCUCACAUCAGAGAGCAUCUCAUCUUCACCGGCUCCCGAGAGCAAAGGCCGGUCCUCAUGCCCCACCAGGGGCGAGCCGCCUCCCCGCGGGGGGAGCUUGGUGCAGGAACACCCCGUGGAGCAGAGGCCCCGGUGUUGGGUCCAGGCCCCCAGGCCAGUCCUCAGCCCUGCUGCCCCAUCAGAGCGGCGAGGCUGAGCCCACGCACUGGAGCUGCUGGACCGUUCCCGGUGGCCCCAGAGGAGGCGCCGAGGUUCCCCAUCUUCGCGAGAGGACGUGGAGCCCUGAGUCGGUGAGAAACUGGCCGCAUCAGCCGUGGCAGAGCCGAGAUCCCACCCGGCGGUCUUUCUCUGGGGCCCACCGUCUGAAUCGCUGGGCCAGCCAGUCCCCGGGCACGACAGGGAUCCGUCAGGACUCCAGGCCCUUUCAGAGCAUCCCAAGCUCAGUCAACGAGCAAAUAGGCGUCCUCUGCCUGAAACUGCCAAGGGCUUUGUCCCCAGCCAGCCUCGGCACCAGGCUCCUCAAAGGAAACAUCAUGCCUCCAGCCCAGUGUUAAGAUGGAACGAAUGAAACCUACAGUCUGACGGGUCCAGAAGCCCUUUGGAAUAUCUCAUUCUACAGACACAAUCCCCCACUGAGCAAUCUGGGUGCCUUUCUCCCCUGAGCAAUCCAAGCAACAGGCACAAAAUUCUCUGCUAGGAAUAAGCUGGCCACUACAGAGCAAGAGAAAUUAAUUUUUAAAAAAUUAGCAAACAUUAACUAUGAUCUAACAAGAGGGAUGCCUGAACUCCUCGUUCCACCAUGAGUGUUCCCUGUCUGCUAUUUAGCCUCAGUCGUAUGUUGAAUCCAGUCCCCACGCCCAAAGAUAUGGCCACGCUCUGACCCCAGGAACCUGUGCGGGCGGUCUUAUUUGAAAAAGGGGUCCCUCCAGAUGUAAUGAAACUAAGGAUCUUGAGAGCAGCUCAUCCUGGAUUACCUGAGUGGGACAAAGUGAGACAAAGAGGGGAAGGUCCUGUGAAGAUGGAGCCGAGAUUGGAGUGACAGAGCCAUAAGCCGCAUCGUGCCUGCGGCCCCCAGAAGCUGGAGGAGGCAAAGAACCGAACCUCCAUGAGAACCUCUGGAGGGAGGCCAGCCCUGUCGACAUCUUGACUUUGCACUUGGCCCUCCAGGUCUGCGAGAGGCUAGAUUCCCAUUGUUUGAAGCCACCAAGCUGUCGUGAUUUGUUGCAGCAGCCCCAGGAAACGAAUCCAUCACUUUACAUGGGAAGGCUCAUGAUUUCAGGGACUCCCACCUCUGAUUCUAGGAGGGGCCCCCAAGUCCUCCCGGCAGCGCUGGCCGUCCACCGUUGUCCUCCUUCCCUCCCUGUCCCCUGCGUCCCCACAGCUCCUAGGUGGAGAAGUGUUUUACACGGUAGAGGCAUCUUGUGUUGAGCUUACUUACAUUUGGUCUUCGGCCUUUUCCAACAUCUGGGCGUGGCCAGUGUCAUCCCCAGCUCUCCUUGGUCACCAUGACUAGGUAAACUGCUUUAUUGGUACAGAGACCUUAACCGCAGGAGUUUCAGCAUUAAAAAAGAGGCGUUUCUUCUAUAGAUAAAUAGUGCCCAAGGGCCAGAAACACAGUCAGACCUUACAAAGGACCAAGAGCAGACGCCCGAUAAGCCUCGAUAAGACUCAGACCGCAGGCAGUACUUGAUGGCUUAGUUCCCCCAGUGCCCCCUCAGUUCUCUCUCUAACCCAGCUCUCCUUGCCUGUCAGCUGAUGGCCACCCACACCCAGAACAUCAGUUCAGCCUCCUGAUCUGCCUUAUCUCCAUCCAGGUAAGCAGCCGACAGUGAGUGCCAUUCAUCCCAAUUUCAAAUUCUUGGGAGAGGAGUUCCCUGGUGGCUCAGCGGGUUAAGGAUCUGGUGUUGUCACUGCUGUGGCUCGGGUGCCUGCUCUGGUGAAGGUUUGAUCCUUGAGACCCAAUAGACAAGAUCACGUGGUAUAAGGAUGGCCACUGGGCCCACUGGGGGUGGUGAGAGGGUCUCAGUGAAGGGCCUGGGUUCGUUCCACAUAGCAAAGUAGCCCAAGAGGACCAGACAGUGAAGGCUGCUUCUCUGGAGAAAGGGCAACCCUUGGAAUUCCUGUCGUGGUGCAGCAGAGACAAAUCUGACCGGUACCCAUGAGGAUGCAGGUUUAACCCCUGGCUUUGCUUAGUGGGUUAAGGAUCUGGCAUUGCCGUGAGUUGUGGUGUAGGUCACAGAUGAGGCUCAGGUCCAGCAUCGCUGUGGCUGCGGUGUAGGCCAGCAGCUACAGCUCCGAUUCAACCCCUAGCCUGGGAAUCUCCACAUGCUGUGAGGUCAGCCUAAAAAGCAUUAAAAAAAAAAAAAAGGGUGCAGCCCUUGCAAGAAGGGGCCAUCUCGGGGGUCAUCCUCGUCCUGCAGCUCCGCCCACACAGGUCACCGUGUGGCUCUUCACUCCCCACAACCUUUCUUCUCACUUGUCCCCUAACUGGGUUUACACACGCAUAAUUACUGUUAGACGGGUGACCUUGGGCCUGCUUGGCUCUCUGCAUCCCUGUGUGCCGCCAGCACCCCCAGUCGGGUAGAGCAUCUUUUAGGGAGGGCCUCCUCUCCAUGUUCCCCACCCCACCUCCUUCCCCAUCUUUGGGGCCCGGGGACAAACAGGAAAGAUGCAGGGCACUGAGCCCACCACACCCCUCCCUCAUGGAGGGGUCGGGGCUCGUUCUGGGGUGACUUCUGAGUAUUCAUGCCUGGUCACUCACUUUCACUUUCCCUUCAUAUGCCACCAAGGUCAGAACGAAGGUGACUGCCCUGGCUGGGCACUGAUGGCACAUUCCUUGCUGCCUGAGGGCCCUUGAAGGGAAAAGUAUUCCCGUUUUGUGUAUGGGCGUAGGUGUGUAGCUACUCACAUAGCACCAAAAUCCAACCCCCAGUUUCCAGGGAAGGGUGAGAAGCACAAAUAGCAAACAGGGGGAAAGAGGAACCUUGUGCCCUGGUGGCUCAGGUGGGUCUCUGAUUCCCUCUCAGCCCUCGCCUGCGUCAUGGUCGGCUGCCCCCGGAUAAUGGAAUUUGAAAGUGCCUCCCAAGCAAAGGGCAGAGCAGCACCCUGUUAGGUCUGAAAAAUGAAUAAUGAUGAACCCCAGGCUUAGUCCUGGUUGGAUAAGGAUAAAUAAAAUUAAAAAUUG
rnacentral:lncRNA from 1 species